AUUGAACGCUGGCGGCAUGCCUUACACAUGCAAGUCGAACGGUAACGGGCCUUCGGGUGCCGACGAGUGGCGAACGGGUGAGUAAUGUAUCGGAACGUACCUUUCAGUGGGGGAUAACGUAGCGAAAGUUACGCUAAUACCGCCUAUUCUGUGAGCAGGAAAGCAGGGGAUCGCAAGACCUUGCGCUGAUUGAGCGGCCGAUAUCAGAUUCGCUAGUUGGUGGGGUAAAGGCUCACCAAGGCGACGAUCUGUAGCGGGUCUGAGCGGAUGAUCCGCCACACUGGAACGGAGACGCGGUCCAGACUCCUACGGGAGGCAGCAGUGGGGAAUUUUGGACAAUGGGGGCAACCCUGAUCCAGCCAUGCCGCGUGAGUGAAGAAGGCCUUCGGGUUGUAAAGCUCUUUCGGCCGGGAAGAAAUCGCACGGGCUAAUACCCUGUGUGGAUGACGGUACCGGAAUAAGAAGCACCGGCUAACUACGUGCCAGCAGCCGCAGUAAGAC
rnacentral:rRNA from 1 species